rnacentral:rRNA from 1 species
CGACCAUACCACCCGGAAAACACCGGUUCUCGUCUGAUCACCGAAGUUAAGCCUGGUCGGGCGAAGUUAGUACUUGGAUGGGUGACCGCCUGGGAAUACUUCGUGUUGUAGACU